GUUUUGGAAAAAUCAAUUAUUGUUGUCUAGUGGAAUGAAGAACGUCAAGAGUCCUUCUAUUCUAAUAUAGAAAUGAAUGCUUUUGACAUUUAAAUUUAUAUGUGUGUGCUAGAAAGUCUCCAAAGAUAGACACUAAUUUCUUCCUUUUAUCUACAUUUGUGUUGCAUUAUCAUUCAAGAGGUAGAGCCUAUUUCUGUUUCUCUUGAAUUUGGGCUGACCUUGUGGCUUGCUUUGCCGAAUACAAUGCAGCUCAAAUAAUGCUAUGCUGAUCCUUGGCCUAGCCCUUUAGAGGGUUAGUAACUUCCACUUUCUUUCUUGAAGCCAGCUGCUAUAUAAAAGUCUGAUUUUCCUGAGACCACCAUGCUGUGAGGAGCUCUGAGCUAGGCAUGUGGCAUGGUCAUGUGGAAGAGCAAUGAAGUGCCAGACAUGUGAGUUAAGUCUUCUGGGAUCUUUCAGUCAAGCUUCAGAAGCAGAUGCUGAGCCUCAAAUCUGCUAGGAUUGUCCUGAAUGAGAGUCUUAUCUCCUGCAGAGAAAGAGCUGAAAUUGUUGAAAAACAGACACAAGUUCUUAUCAUCAGCAUGAAAGAAACAGAAUGAAGGUGGACACAAGCAAAGCUCUGUCAGAUUUCAUCUACCAUCAAAAUCUCAACUUCUAUAGAUCAGAAGAUGUUUGCUCUAGCCCAGUACUUCAUAUUCCAGGCUGAGAUGCCUCCCAAUAGUGCAUACAUGAAAAUUCUGCUCCACCUGGUGAGAGAUGAGGAUCCAGUUUUAUUCUCUGGCCUGGUGUUUGCUUCAGCUCAAGAGUUCAAGACCAGCCUGGGCAACAUGGUGAAACUCCAUAUCUCCCUCACCCCAGCAAAAAAAAGUUUACUCCUGCCAACGUGUCCUUGGCACAUUUUCCAGACUCUAACGUCUGCUCUGCCUCAGUACUUGCAGCCUGAGAGCAAAAGAACCAUACUACUGAUGAGAAGAAGAGUGCAAAUGACGGCCCAGCAAGCAACAGCAUCACAAUUACUGACUCAACAGGGAGGUGGCAGUAUUGAAAUGAGGUAUAUAAGGAAGCUUUAG
rnacentral:lncRNA from 13 species